GAUGAACGCUGGCGGCGUGCUUAACACAUGCAAGUCGAACGGAAAGGCCCAAGCUUGCUUGGGUACUCGAGUGGCGAACGGGUGAGUAACACGUGGGUGAUCUGCCCUGCACUUCGGGAUAAGCCUGGGAAACUGGGUCUAAUACCGGAUAGGACGAUGGUUUGGAUGCCAUUGUGGAAAGUUUUUUCGCUGUGGGAUGAGGUCGCGGCCUACCAGCUUGUUGGUGGGGAAAUGGCCUACCAAGGCGUCGACGGGUAGCCGGCCUGAGAGGGUGUACGGCCACAUUGGGACUGAGAUGCAGCCCAGACUCCUACGGGUGGCAGCAGGGGGGAAUAUUGCACAAUGGGCGCAAGCCUGAUGCAGCGACGCCGCGUGGGCGAUGACGGCCUUCGGGUUGUAAACUCCUUUCGCUAGGGACGAAGCGUUUUUGUGACGGUACCUGGAGAAGAAGCACCGGCUAACUACGUG
rnacentral:rRNA from 1 species